AGAAUGAACGCUGGCGGCAUGCCUAACACAUGCAAGUCGAACGAAGGCUUCGGCCUUAGUGGCGCACGGGUGCGUAACGCGUGGGAAUCUGCCCUUGGGUUCGGAAUAACAGCUAGAAAUGGCUGCUAAUACCGGAUGAUGACGUAAGUCCAAAGAUUUAUCGCCCAGGGAUGAGCCCGCGUAGGAUUAGCUAGUUGGUGGGGUAAAGGCUCACCAAGGCGACGAUCCUUAGCUGGUCUGAGAGGAUGAUCAGCCACACUGGGACUGAGACACGGCCCAGACUCCUACGGGAGGCAGCAGUGGGGAAUAUUGGACAAUGGGCGCAAGCCUGAUCCAGCAAUGCCGCGUGAGUGAUGAAGGCCUUAGGGUUGUAAAGCUCUUUACCCGGGAUGAUAAUGACAGUACCGGGAGAAUAAGCUCCGGCUAACUCCGUGCCAGCAGCCGC
rnacentral:rRNA from 1 species